AACGGAGAAAAAAAAAGAGAUUACAAACUGCAGGUAGUAAAAUAUGCAGCCAAAAAAGGUAAUCGAGCAGUAGAAAGAAAGUUUGGAGUGACUCAGAAACUUU